CAGAGUUCGUGCCCUCACGGGUAGAUCUCCCACCCUGUGUUAUUAUACCUUUGUUGCUUUGGCGGGCCGCCCUCGGCUACCGGCCCCGGCUGGUCAGUGCCCGCCAGAGAACCGAAAACUCUGAAUGUUAAUAUCGUCCGAGUACUAUAUAAUAGUUA
rnacentral:misc_RNA from 1 species